rnacentral:rRNA from 1 species
UAUGUGAUCGUCUCUCGCAUAUCAAUAAGCGGAGGAAAAGAAACUAACAAGGAUUCCCCUAGUAACGGCGAGUGAAGCGGGAAGAGCUCAAAUUUGAAAUCCUAAAGGGUUUCCCUUUACGAAUUGUAGUUUAAAGAAGUGUUUUCUGUUGAGGUUUUGGUAAAAGUUCUUUGGAAUAGGACAUCAUAGAGGGUGAGAAUCCCGUAUUUGACCUUUACUUUCAACUUUGUGAUACACUUUCAAAGAGUCGGAUUGUUUGGGAAUGCAGUCCAAAAUGGGUGGUAAAUUUCAUCUAAAGCUAAAUAUUGGCGAGAGACCGAUAGCGAACAAGUACCGUGAGGGAAAGAUGAAAAGAACUUUGAAAAGAGAGUUAAACAGUACGUGAAAUUGUCAAAAGGGAAGCGUUUGACACCAGUGUUGUUUUUCUGAAAAUCAAUUAAAGAACUGUUUAUGCUAAGUUGUUUAGACUUUAUCAGCUAACUGUUUAGUUUUGAGCUUUUCUUUAAUGCACUUUUCAGUUAACAAGUCAACAUCAAUUUCUUUUGCUGUAAAAAAGCUUGAGGAAGGUGGCUUGAGAUUCGUCUUAAGUGUUUAUAGCCUCUUGCCUAUGCAGUCGGAGAGAUUGAGGUCUGCAGCGUAGAUCCUUCGGGGCUAAAUGCAUUUGUGCUAAGUUAUAGCAUUUUAUAGACAACUUGUUGACUAUGAUUUGUCUUGUAGCUUACUCGCUUAUGUUAUUUUACCUACGCUUAGGAUGUUGACUGAUAUGUAGUCGUA